UGGGGAAUUUUGGACAAUGGGCGCAAGCCUGAUCCAGCCAUGCCGCGUGCGGGAAGAAGGCCUUCGGGUUGUAAACCGCUUUGUCAGGGAAGAAAUCUUCUGAGUUAAUACCUCGGGAGGAUGACGGUACCUGAAGAAUAAGCACCGGCUAACUACGUGCCAGCAGCCGCGGUAAUACGUAGGGUGCAAGCGUUAAUCGGAAUUACUGGGCGUAAAGCGUGCGCAGGCGGUUUUGUAAGACAGAGGUGAAAUCCCCGGGCUCAACCUGGGAACUGCCUUUGUGACUGCAAGGCUUGAGUGCGGCAGAGGGGGAUGGAAUUCCGCGUGUAGCAGUGAAAUGCGUAGAUAUGCGGAGGAACACCGAUGGCGAAGGCAAUCCCCUGGGCCUGCACUGACGCUCAUGCACGAAAGCGUGGGGAGCAAACAGGAUUAGAUACCCUGGUAGUCCACGCCCUAAACGAUGUCAACUGGUUGUUGGGAAGGUUCCUUCUCAGUAACGUAGCUAACGCGUGAAGUUGACCGCCUGGGGAGUACGGCCGCAAGGUUGAAAC
rnacentral:rRNA from 1 species